UGGGGAAUAUUGCACAAUGGGCGCAAGCCUGAUGCAGCCAUGCCGCGUGUAUGAAGAAGGCCUUCGGGUUGUAAAGUACUUUCAGCGGGGAGGAAGGGAGUAAAGUUAAUACCUUUGCUCAUUGACGUUACCCGCAGAAGAAGCACCGGCUAACUCCGUGCCAGCAGCCGCGGUAAUACGGAGGGUGCAAGCGUUAAUCGGAAUUACUGGGCGUAAAGCGCACGCAGGCGGUUUGUUAAGUCAGAUGUGAAAUCCCCGGGCUCAACCUGGGAACUGCAUCUGAUACUGGCAAGCUUGAGUCUCGUAGAGGGGGGUAGAAUUCCAGGUGUAGCGGUGAAAUGCGUAGAGAUCUGGAGGAAUACCGGUGGCGUAGGCGGCCCCCUGGACGAAGACUGACGCUCAGGUGCGAAAGCGUGGGGAGCAAACAGG
rnacentral:rRNA from 1 species